CAUCCAUCUUUUCAUAAUCAUUCAGGAGUUUCAGAUCAUUAGCACUCAAAACAACUCUCAGAUUUGAUCUUCCUCUGAAGGCUCACUGAAUGUUAUUUUAUAAAUAAGUAGAAUAUUUAUUUAUUAUUUUUAAAAGCCAAAUCGACUUUUAAUAGUUUCGAAAAUUAAAAAUGAAUCAGAAUGGAAAUGUUUUGAAGCUUCAGCACAAUGCCCUAGAGUUGUGUUACUCCCAUGGGAGCACUAUACAGUAACUUCUGAGAAGGCGUAUCGUAAACACAAGUACUACUAAUGGCUUCGUUCUUUUGAUGUUAUGCCUCACUAUGUGUCCGUGUGAUGCAAGAUAAGACUCUCAUCACAACCGCACGCUGUAUAACGCUAAACUGCUGGGCGUCCUAAUCUGGCCUGUACACUGCCUCCUCUUAAAUACCUCAGCACUGGGCUCAUGUGGUAGUCGGUGACUAGCACCACAUUGUAUGAAUGAGCAGAAAACAGAACACCGAUAAGGUAGUGGAUUAUUAAGUCCAGUACAAUUUUAGGAUAUUUUAUAUACUAUUAGAGUAUUAAGUAUUUAGAAAUGUUUUAUUUUAUAUAUUUUAUAAAUAUAUAAAAAUGUAUAAUCUCGGUUAAUCUCAGCAUUUACUAAUACAUUUUAAGAUCAAAAGUUGAAUGUUAACAUUAGUUAAUGCACUGUGAACAUUAACAUGAACAUUAUUAUUAACUAAUAUUAAAAAGGUAAUAACUGCUGCAUACUGUAGCUAUUGUUUUGCUCAAUGUUAGUAAAUGCAUUAAGUUAUAUUAACAAAUUAGCCAUUAUUGUAAAAUAUUGCCAGUUUAUUUAUUUAUUUAUUUAUUUAUUUAUUUAUUUCAGUUUUAGUUUUAGUCAUUUGACUACUUAAACUUAUUUUAUUCCAUUUAGUCGGCAAGACAACAUUUCUAAUUUAUGUUUAAUUUUUUUAACUUAAUUUUAAGUAGCAGAAAUGAUUUUUUUAUAGUAACAACUCUGAUUCUUUCAGUAUCAUGGGUUUUUUUGGACAUCACUAAUACGUGAAGCUAGAACAUCUAUACUGCACUUUUUCACAAUGUUAAUAAAUCAGUUUAUACUAUGACGCUGUUCUGUUAUUUAUUCUGAUUGGUUGAAAAGGCUAGAAAAGGCUAGAGACUAGUUCCAGGUUUGCUGAGCGUAUUGCAACAUCACCUCCACAUUCUUUCUGAACUGAUAACAGAUACUUCAUCUGUGACAUAGGGAAGAGCAUUUUAGGGACAGACCCUUGAAAAAUGUCCUUUCUCUCAAUAAAAACAACAACUUGCACCUCAACCUGUACUACCAGUGAGCUGUGAUCCCACACACAGAUUGGCACAGACUCAGAUGAAUAGUUCAGGGCUGCAGAGUCAGGUCGGAGGUAUGCUGGUGGGAGUAAGAGAAUUCCCCGUGUAUUUCACUCAUUAGAUGAGAUAUGGGAGCUAUGCUGAAUGCACUCUCCUCCCGACAGCAGAUAUUUUCUGAGGAAUAUAUCCAUACAGACCGGUGAUUUAUACAAUAUGCUGAACUUUAAGAGACAGUAUUUGCUCCGUGUCUCUGUUUUCUCAUACCGUAAUAAUCAACUUGUUACAUCAGUGCAGUGCAAUUUGAAAAAUUAGGUCAGACUGUCUUCCAUUAGUUCAGCCAAACUUAAUGGGGCAUUAACAUUCUCACUGGUGCUAUCUGGAAAAGGUUAUGUAAUAUAUGUUUAAAAUGUUUUAAAGUAGUGCCCCAAUAUUUAGCAUGAUAUGGAAAGCAUGAUUGAAUUCCACACCUAAAUUCCACUAUAAAUUUGUUCACUGCUACUAAGAUUGCUAAAACGGUGUCUGUCUUCCUCACAGCCCAGAUGUGAUGUCAGCAGAACGGCCCAGGACAAACAGAAACUCCAUGAUCGCUCUGGGCCAUCAGAAACUGGACUAUCUGUGGCCACAGUAGUAUUAAUCAGACAUUGAGUAGACAGCCGGUGAUGGGGCAGCUUAUCCAAAAAGCAAAGGACAAAGGGGGGUUUUUGCAAUUUGCAGAUGGUUUUUCCAGACUGAGGAACAAGAUGGUAGUGAAAUACACAAGAAAACAAUGAACGGGAUUUGAAUAACGAUAGAAAAAAGUUGGUGUAUAUAAUACUAAGAGAGAUAUUUAUAUGUUGAUGAUGAUGUUAAGUUGACCUGUUGAUGGAGCUUGUUUGUGUGGUGUGACGUUUCUAUAAAUGUCUUUAAUUCAGAUAAAGCACUCAUUAGAUUUGUCAGCUAAUGAGGUACUGUUAAAGACUAUAUAUACAUGGAAAAAUGAUUUACAGAAUGUGAUCAGACAAAGGGAAUUACAGUAAAUCCUUAUCUAUAGUCUAAUGUAAAUUUCUGCCAGGAAAAUUUACCAGACAAUGUCCUAAUUGUAAAAUACUUGAAAUACAUCCAAAUGAUAACAAAUGUUGAACAUGCAUGCUAUAACUUUUAUAGAUCGUUUUGUACCACUAUUAUAAGAACUGCCAUGUGUAAGUGUGUAUAUACAGACAGAACAAAUAUGCAUGUAUCCAUGAAGUAUGAAUCGUAUGUGCAGAUGAGAGUGGAUAAGAGGCGCUCCCACGUCUGAAUUCUUAUAUCUACAGACAUAUAUAUCGCUGUGAUGAUGGGGCUUAUGAUAACAUGUAAAUGACUUAUGGCAGUUCUGUAUGCAGCUCGCCUGUCUGAUGUUAUAUAUUGUGUGUGACCUUUUGCUUCCCUACAAAUUAAGCAAUGCCCAGAGUGUGAACCUGAAAUGUCAUCCUUAUAUAUGAAUUAAAAAGGGCUUUCUAUGUGCCUGCCAAAUAUCAGUCCAAAGACAUAAACACUGUUAAUUAAACAGAAUAAAAUGCAGGAUAAAAUGGUCAUAAUACUUUACUAAACUUAUAAGUGGACCUCAGGGAGAAACAGAAAUAACAAAAAAAGUUAUGAAUUGACCCUUUUGAAUUAAUAAGGUGUUUAAUUCAGGCUAUUACACUACAGUGAAAACAGUCAGAUCUCCUGGACAACAUUAAGUUAAGCUCAGAAAGUGAGCACUGUGGCAUUUGUCAAGUGUUUAACUGUCUUUGUUGACAGCUGAGAGAGUGAGGUACUAAAAUGUCUAGAUAAAGUCUGUUGUGCAGACCACUUGCAGCCUUCCGUGUGAAAGAUAGAACAUCAGUUUUCUAAUUAAAUUUCUGUAACACAAUAUUGUUCUGGCCAGGAAAGUGUAUUAAAACACAAAGUGGCUUCCAGCACUGUCUUUUGAUGUACGCUUGACUUAUCGUUUCAUAGUCACUGUGCUGAGUAAUGCUGUUAAACCGUGUGUAAAAAUGAAUGACAGCUGAAGUAUGGCAGAUUUUUUGUUUGUUAGGGACAGAAGACAAGACAAAGAGAUUUUGUUCUUAUCUUGUGCUGUAAUGGACCAAAUGGAUGGAAUAAUUCAGUAUGCAUAUUGCAUUGUUUUUCAAAUGUAUUUUUAAUAAAUAAGAUAUUUCUAAAUAACA